GGACGAACGCUGGCGGCGUGCUUACCCCAUGCAAGUCGUACGGUAAGGCCCUUUCGGGGGUACACGAGUGGCGAACGGGUGAGUAACACGUGAGUAACCUGCCCACAACUUUGGGAUAACGCUAGGAAACUGGUGCUAAUACUGGAUAUGUGCUCCUGCUGCAUGGUGGGGGUUGGAAAGCUCCGGCGGUUGUGGAUGGACUCGCGGCCUAUCAGCUUGUUGGUGGGGUAGUGGCCUACCAAGGCGGCGACGGGUAGCCGGCCUGAGAGGGUGACCGGCCACAUUGGGACUGAGAUACGGCCCAGACUCCUACGGGAGGCAGCAGUGGGGAAUAUUGCACAAUGGGCGCAAGCCUGAUGCAGCAACGCCGCGUGCGGGAUGACGGCCUUCGGGUUGUAAACCGCUUUCAGCAGGGACGAAGCUUUUUGUGACGGUACCUGCAGAAGAAGCACCGGCUAACUACGUG
rnacentral:rRNA from 1 species